AAAUCUUCUUCCCCAAUUUCCCGUCAACCCCAUCACCGAACAUCGGUAUUCCCCUCCUUCAAUCAUUUGAUCCAUUUACCUUAUUUAGCUUUUCUCUCUUUACUUUUUAUUUUUAUUUUUUCUUGCCUUAAUUAUCCUUUUUAUUUUUUUACUAAUUGUCAUUGACAAUCUCUUCCUUAAUCACUCAAAUCAGAAAGUAUUUCUUCCUUUAAAGAAACGAUUUUUAGCAGAAAAUGUGGAGGUAUGAAUCUUUUUGGAGAAUCUGUCCAAAUUCAAGAUCUCUCACAAAGUUUUCUUAUUAAUUUGGCACUUUGCAACAGAUCCAGGUACCGCUGAUCAAGCCUACUAUCCUUGAG